UUCUUUAUGACCAUAUUGAGAUCUCCUAAAAAUAUUAGCCAUAUUUAAUUAAGGAAAAUUGUCUUUUCUUAUUUUAGGCCAAUAUUGCAUUUCUGCCACAUUCUAAAGGAACUACCAUUUGGUAGCAAGGAAAAUUCCCAAAUAAUUUUUGGAGCUUGUCCUUGCUGUAUAUUCACCAUUUCCAUCCAAAUCCAUGCUUCACAGUCCAUAAUUUGAGCACAUGAUCCAAUGCAAGUUUCUGUCAUGUCUGAAAUUUUUGCAAAGGAAGUGCUUGACCCCUUGAUCUUUUUGAGCUGGAAUUUUUCAGGGUGUGAUUAACAUUGAUAAAGCACCCAUGGAUACCAAAAAUCAGCGCAACCCAUCAACCAAUCUUCUCCUGCAAUUUUCUCAAGUUUCUGUUCAGAUUGCUUCUCUGUGAAGGAAGUACCCUCAUGGAUGAUCAAAAUGAGCUGAAACUUUUCGAGCAGUCUCUAAUGAUUAUAUCAUCACCCUCCACCAAAAAUUAGCUCAUUCCACUUAGCCAUUUUUUCCCAGCACCCUCAUUUGCAUUUCUGGUCAGCUGGGCAGGUUGCACAUGAAGUACCAUCUAGCCUCAUCGUUUUGGGCUGAUAUUUUGGCACACUGGUCACCUUAGUAGAUGACAACACUUACCCAAAUCCCGUGCCUAAUGAAGCUGUGCACUGCCCAAUAUUUAUAUCAAACAGGUUGCUGUUGUUUUAGACAUGAGCAACGUACAGUCUCACCGUGAGCCCUGUGUGUUGUAUCUUUGCUCGAAACCUCUAGUGGGGGAGUGAUCGACUCGCCAGGCAUAAACGGGGCAUCCAGAACGAGUGUCGAUGCCAAGUUUACGUGGUGACCACAGGUGUAGCCGGCCAAAUCGGUGGUCUAGCUCCUGUAGUCGCCGGCAGGCCUGCUCUGGCCAGCCCUCGAUUGUCCGGGCAUGUCCAACAGUUACCCCUCGACGUCGUUUUCUCCCUGGACCCCUCUCCAGCUCCUGAUUUCUCUCCGACGAGCCAUCCCCGCCGCCGCACAGUACGCGCCUGUGUGCGCCGUCGUCUUCCUCCUCUGUCUUCUUCCUCCUCGUGACCCUGGGUGCUGCUCGUCUCCGUGAACCUCUGCAGCUCGUCCGCUCCCCCUCGUCAUGUUCCUGCUCCUCCCCGUGACCUCAGUGGCCGCCAGAGCUUUGGCCGGACUCGCCGGCGGAGCUCGGCUCGGAUAUUCCUCGCCUCGGCUAUAAAUAGCCAGAGCCCGGGCCUCCCCGAGCUAUCCAAUCCUCUCCACCCCUCCCCUCUAUCUCUAGUCCUCGCCUGCCUUGGACCAGCCGUAUCCCUCACCGGAGCGCUCAGAUUUAUGGCGAGCUUCCCCCUCUGCUCCGCCGCCUACUCCCUCACCCGAGCUCCCCCGCGCCCCGUGCAACCCAUGGAUGGAUGCGCCACUCUCCGGCGACCGUCCCCGGCCCACCGCCCGUCCAUUUCCCCCACCGAAGCCGCCCAAUCGCCUGACCCCGCCACCCUCUGUCUCCGCGCGUCGCCGCACUUCCAGCCACCACCGGCGCCCGCGCUACCCUUCCCCGGAUGCGGUGAUCGUUGGCGGCCUCUUCCACGCCAUCUCCUGGACCUGUAGCUUGCUGGAGCGCCGUGGCCGCACCGGAGCCAGUGCCCUCACCGUCGCAUCGGGGAACAGAGGAGGAGGAGAAAGGAGAACAAGAUGAGGAGAGAGAAGGAGGCGCGGGCGACAGAAGGGCGUGGCCCAGCUGGCCACGUCGGAUAAGUGGGGGGAAGCGCCUUCCCCCCGAAGCCAUCUCUGUGCGAUGAAAGAGUAUUCGGGCAAAUACGCCUUCUGUUUUCAGCCGGCCGCUCUGAAACUGCUACUUUGUGAACGUUCACCCGUUAGCAGCAGAAAUGGACAGAUUUUUAUUCGGUUUCUGCCUAACGAACGAAUGGCCACAACUUUUCAACCGUAGCUCCGAUUAUGCCCCUUUGAGAGAGAACCCUUCUUCGGCAAAUUUUUCCGUGAGGUGAUUACAUUCCUUACCGGAGUAUUCGUCGACCCCAGGCAAGCCAACCUCUUAUCAUGAGCCCCGAACUUGUAUGUUGACUUUGCUUGCACCCUGUUUGUGUGUAGUUGUAGUAGUUUCUUAUCAGUUUUGUCUGCAGUUAUUUUCGUUAUGCUUGUAGUGUUUGCCAUGCGUGCUUGCGCUUUCAGGUUAUCUUUUGCCAUGCUAGCUAGGACGUUGUUAUUGAUAAGGUCAUGUCACUGCUCUAUUUUAGUUUCACGCCAUUGAUAUAAAUGCUAUAAUGAUUUUGGUACACCGUUGAUAUGCUA